rnacentral:rRNA from 1 species
AUUGAACGCUGGCGGCAGGCCUAACACAUGCAAGUCGAACGAGUGGCGGACGGGUGAGUAAUGUCUUGGAAACUGCCUUAUGGAGGGGGAUAACUACUGGACACGGUCGCUACUACCGCAUACCAUCAGAUGUGCCCAGAUUGGAUUAGCUUGUUGGUGGGGUAACGGCUCACAAAAGCGACGCUCCCUAGCUGGUCUGAGAGGAUGACCAGCCACACUGGAACUGAGAAACGGUCCAGAAUCAUACGGGAGGAAGAAGUGGGGAAUAUUGCACAAUGGGCGCAAGCCUGAUGCAGCCAUGCCGCGUGUAUGAAGAAGGCCUUCGGGUUGUAAAGUACUUGCAGCGGGGAGGCGUUACCCGCAGAAGAAGCACCGGCUAACUCCGUGCCAGCAGCCGCGGUAAUUC